AGCGAACGCUGGCGGCAGGCCUAAUACAUGCAAGUCGAGCGGUCCCUUCGGGGGCAGCGGCGGACGGGUGAGUAACGCGUGGGAACGUGCCCUUUGGUACGGAACAACUGAGGGAAACUUCAGCUAAUACCGUAUGUGCCCUUCGGGGGAAAGGAUUUAUCGCCAUUGGAGCGGCCCGCGUUGGAUUAGGUAGUUGGUGAGGUAAAGGCCCACCAAGGCGAUGAUGGGUAGCCGGCCUGAGAGGGUGUACGGCCACACUGGGACUGAGAUACGGCCCAGACUCCUACGGAGGCAGCAGCUAAGAAUAUUCCGCAAUGGACGAAAGUCUGACGGAGCGACGCCGCGUGGAUGAAGAAGGCCGAAAGGUUGUAAAGUUCUUUUGCUAGGGGAGAAUAAGUGAGGGAGGGAAUGCCCUCAUGAUGACAAGGACUAGCGAAUAAGCCCCGGCCAACUACGUG
rnacentral:rRNA from 1 species